rnacentral:rRNA from 1 species
GUAAGGAAUAUUGGUCAAUGGAGGGAACUCUGAACCAGCCAUGCCGCGUGCAGGAAGACGGCCCUACGGGUUGUAAACUGCUUUUGCACGGGAAUAACCCUCAUUAUGUAUAAUGAGCUGAAUGUACCGUGAGAAUAAGGAUCGGCUAACUCCGUGCCAGCAGCCGCGGUAAUACGGAGGAUCCGAGCGUUAUCCGGAAUUAUUGGGUUUAAAGGGUGCGCAGGCGGGGAUCUAAGUCAGGGGUGAAAGACGGUGGCUCAACCAUCGCAGUGCCUUUGAUACUGGAUCUCUUGAAUGUACCUGAGGUAGGCGGAAUGUGGCAAGUAGCGGUGAAAUGCAUAGAUAUGCCACAGAACACCGAUUGCGAAGGCAGCUUACCAAAGUAUGAUUGACGCUGAGGCACGAAAGCGUGGGGAUCGAACAGGAUUAGAAACCCCUGUAGUCC